CUUAAUUAUUUUUGUGAGUUGAGAACGUCGUCUCCCUCUUUCUUUCCAUUUCCUUAGCAGCCGCCCAAGGCGUCGCGGGACGAUGCCGGUCGGCCGCUUACGCCCAUAAUUCCUAUGUUGGCUCCUCAUGUUUCCCUCCACGAUAUCGAAUUAAAAUCCCAAAAAUUAUAAAAGUGCACAAUUAAAUUAUCGCAAGUAUUUCCCCUCGCAAAUACAUUUAUUUCGAAACUUGGGGUAAAUCAUUUGUACAUCGAUUUAUUCCGAGAAUUAAUUAAAUAAUUCCCCACAAUUAAUUUAAUUAUCAACUCAAAGAUUUAUUUAAUUAUCGGUCAAACUAAAAUUAGUGUUCUAUACCUUACUAAUUAUUCUAUAAAAACUAUAGCAACUUGGAUCAUAACAAAUUAUUUUAUAUUCUUAACCAUUUUAUUCUUCCGUCCAAAAUCCCUUAGAAAUUAAUUCCAUCCAGUCAAACAAUUCGUCUUGCUCUUUGAUGAAUCUUGGCCCAGUAAUUAAAUUAUUCUAGCCCACUGUAUAUUCCAUAGUACUAGCCCACAAUAUUUGCACCAAAUUAGAAAUUGUCCCAACACUAAUUAAAUUAGCCCAACUAUUAAUUAGAAAAAAAAACAGUAGCCCCAAUUCUAGGAUUAAAUCAGCCCAUAAUAUCAGCCCAUAUACUCCCCCACACUUAUCGCCAUCGGUCUCCCCUCUCUCUUAAUCUCUAUUCACUCUUCUUCCCCAAUUGCACAAUAGGAAGAAUCCAUCUCCCAAAUCAAAAUUUCCGUCGACCAGCCAUCCCGCCGGCGUCGUCGUCGCCUUCGCUCCACCGCCGGCGUGUUCCCUCCAUCAUUUCUUUCCUCUCUCGCUCCUCUCUCUCUUGUCUCCAGCUCACGUCGCCGCGGAUCCUCCUCCUCCCGAUCUUCCGCCGCACACCGUCGCUGCUGGUGGCCGUCGUCCAGCCACCGUCUCGGCUGUCUAAAGUCAGCCGCUGCUGCUGCCGCUGCACAGAGUCGGGCUGUUUGUUCGCCCCUGCUCCGUCGGUGGUCGUGCAGCCCCGAAACAUCACCACAGCCCCCGAUUCGUCCCGAAACCAAUCCGAACCACCCCGCAAGGUAUAAUCGGUUCAAGUUCGUGGCUGUCCGCGUUGAAGCACCCGAUUUUCUUAGAACGUAGGAUGUAUAAAUUAAAUUUUGUUGGACUUUUGUGGGAUGUAUCGGACAUUAAAAUUUUAAAUUUUUGGGUCUUAUUUAUUUAUUCAUUUAAAUUUAUUAUAUUCA